CAGGAUUCCCAUUUAAAUUUGAAUAUUAGAUGAGCAACAAAUAAUUUUUAGUAUAAGUACAUCCCAUGCAAUAUUUGAGACAUACUUAUACUAAAAAAUUAUCCACUGCUUAUCUGAAAUUCAAAUGUAAAUAGGUGUCUUUU
rnacentral:miRNA from 1 species